CACCCCCCGGUAAGCUGGAGCGUGUAGAUCCUACAUGCCCAGCUUAAAUACAAAAGAAAGAAGUGAAGAGCCAAUA